rnacentral:miRNA from 1 species
GUGUGUGUGUGUGUGUGUGUGUAUAUAAUGCAGUGUGUUUGUGUAGUGUGCAUUAUAUAAACACACUGCAUUAUAUACACACACUACACAAACAC